AGGGUUUUACUGUCUCUUACUUCCAAUCAGUGAAAUUGACCUUCCCGUGAAGAGGCGGGAAUAAACAAAUAAGACCAGAAGACCCUAUGGAGCUUUAACUAACUAGUUCAAAGAAAAGAAACUUAACCACCAAGGGAUAAUACUAUUCUUCAUGAGCUAACAGUUUUGGUUGGGGUGACCUCGGAGAACAAAAAAUCCUCCGAGCGAUUUUAAAAAUAAGACACACAAGUCAAAUUGAACUAUCGCUUAUUGAUCCAAAAUUUGAUCAACGGAACAAGUUACCCUAGGGAUAACAGCGCAAUCCUAUUCAAGAGUUCAUAUCGACAAUAGGGUUUACGACCUCGAUGUUGGAUCAGGACACCCCGAUGGUGCAACCGCUAUCAAAGGUUCGUUUGUUCAACGAUUAAAGUCCUACGUGAUCUG
rnacentral:rRNA from 1 species